UACAGAGGGUGCAAACGUUGUUCGGAAUUACUGGGCGUAAAGCGCGUGUAGGCGGCUUUGCAAGUCGGGUGUGAAAGCCCUCGGCUUAACCGAGGAAGUGCGCCCGAACCGAUAGGCUUGAGGAGGAUAGAGGUAAGCGGAACAGAUGGUGGAGCGGUGAAAUGCGUUGAUAUCAUCUGGAACACCUGUGGCGAAAGCGGCUUACUGGGUCCUUUCUGACGCUGAGGCACGAAAGCCAGGGUAGCGAACGGG
rnacentral:rRNA from 1 species